rnacentral:rRNA from 1 species
CACGCCGUAAACGAUGGAUACUAGCUGUUCGGAGCAAUCUGAGUGGCUAAGCGAAAGUGAUAAGUAUCCCACCUGGGGAGUACGCACGCAAGUGUGAAACUCAAAGGAAUUGACGGGGGCCCGCACAAGCGGUGGAGCAUGUGGUUUAAUUCGAUGCAACGCGAAGAACCUUACCUGGCCUUGACAUGUCUGGAAUCCUGCAGAGAUGCGGGAGUGCCUUCGGGAAUCAGAACACAGGUGC